AUUUUCGGGUGAUCGCGGUUUGGCUUUUUGCCAGGCUGAGGAAAGUCCAUGCUCGCACAGACUGAGAUGUCUGUAGUGUUCGUGCUUAGCGAAAAAAUAAGCUAAGGUACUUCUUAGAAGUAACGGCAGGAAAACCGGCUAAGGUGAGAGCUAUGCCCAAGUAUCCUUGAAAGUGCCACAGUGACGAAACGUUUUGGGAAACCAAAACGGUGGAACGCGGUAAACCCCUCGAGCGAGCAACCCAAACUAUGGUAGGGGCGCUUUUUGAUCGGAAAUGAACGAAGCAAAGAGGCAAUCAAUGAUUGCAGAUAGAUGAUGACCACGCCUUUCUUUCUCCCUGAGAGUGAAGGCGUACAAAACAUGGCUUAUAGAA
rnacentral:RNase_P_RNA from 2 species